rnacentral:rRNA from 1 species
GGAAUAUUGCACAAUGGAGGAAACUCUGAUGCAGCGAUGCCGCGUGAGUGAAGAAGGCCUUUGGGUUGUAAAGCUCUUUCGUCGGGGAAGAAAAUGACUGUACCCGAAUAAGAAGGUCCGGCUAACUUCGUGCCAGCAGCCGCGGUAAUACGAAGGGACCUAGCGUAGUUCGGAAUUACUGGGCUUAAAGAGUUCGUAGGUGGUUAAAAAAGUUGGUUGUGAAAUCCCGGAGCUUAACUCCGGAACUGCAAUCAAAACUUUUUAGCUAGAGUAUGAUAGAGGAAAGCAGAAUUUCUAGUGUAGAGGUGAAAUUCGUAGAUAUUAGAAAGAAUACCAAUUGCGAAGGCAGCUUUCUGGAUCAUUACUGACACUGAGGAACGAAAGCAUGGGUAGCGAAGAGGAUUAGAUACCCUCGUAGUCCAUGCCGUAAACGAUGUGUGUUAGACGUUGGAAAUUAAUUUUUAGUGUCGCAGCGAAAGCAUUAAACACACCGCCUGGGGAGUACGACCGCAAGGUUAAAACUCAAAUGAAUUGACGGGGACCCGCACAAGUAGUGGAGCAUGUGGUUUAAUUCGAAGAUACGCGCAGAACCUUACCAACACUUGACAUGUUCGUCGCGACUCUAAGAGAUUAGAGUUUUCGGUUCGGCCGGACGAAACACAGGUGCUGCAUGGCUGUCGUCAGCUCGUGUCGUGAGAUGUUGGGUUAAGUCCCGCAACGAGCGCAACCCUCACUUUUAGUUGCCAUCAUUUAGUUGGGCACUCUGAAAGAACUGCCAGUGAUAAGCUGGAGGAAGGUGGGGAUGACGUCAAGUCC